UUGAAGGGGCAAAUCAAGUCCAAAUCAAAAUACGAAUACGAAUUAGUGAUCUCCAUUGAAAAAGGAGUUACGAGUUUGACUCUGACAAGCUAGGUAGGAGCUUGGAAAUGAGCGGGUCAAAUGGAUACAAGUUCAAGUAUGAAGCUCGCAAGGAUGCAAGGAGUAGAUAUCCAAUGGAUACUCGCAUCGCUCUUAAUUAGCAAUUAUAAAGCAAGGUAUUAAACCGGGUUAGUAAGUUGAUCCGAGCCAGGUAUGUAUAAUAGAUUAACUCAUCAUGUAGAACUUGAAGUUCUAUGAAAGUUAGGCAAAA